UACGUAGGCAGCAAGCGUUGUUCGGAAUUACUGGGCGUAAAGAGUGUGUAGGCGGUGCUCCAAGUCUGGUGUGAAAUCUCCCGGCUCAACUGGGAGGGUGCGCUAGAAACUGGAAUGCUAGAGGAUGGGAGAGGUAAGCGGAAUUCCUGGUGUAGCGGUGAAAUGCGUAGAUAUCAGGAGGAACACCUGUGGUGUAGACAGCUUGCUGGACCAUUUCUGACGCUGAGACACGAAAGCGUGGGUAGCAAACAGG
rnacentral:rRNA from 1 species